AUUGAACGCUGGCGGCAGGCUUAACACAUGCAAGUCGAGCGGGGGGAGGUAGCUUGCUACCGGACCUAGCGGCGGACGGGUGAGUAAUGCUUAGGAAUCUGCCUAUUAGUGGGGGACAACAUCUCGAAAGGGAUGCUAAUACCGCAUACGUCCUACGGGAGAAAGCAGGGGAUCUUCGGACCUUGCGCUAAUAGAUGAGCCUAAGUCGGAUUAGCUAGUUGGUGGGGUAAAGGCCUACCAAGGCGACGAUCUGUAGCGGGUCUGAGAGGAUGAUCCGCCACACUGGGACUGAGACACGGCCCAGACUCCUACGGGAGGCAGCAGUGGGGAAUAUUGGACAAUGGGGGGAACCCUGAUCCAGCCAUGCCGCGUGUGUGAAGAAGGCCUUAUGGUUGUAAAGCACUUUAAGCGAGGAGGAGGCUACUUUAGUUAAUACCUAGAGAUAGUGGACGUUACUCGCAGAAUAAGCACCGGCUAACUCUGUGCCAGCCGCCGUAACAC
rnacentral:rRNA from 1 species